rnacentral:rRNA from 1 species
GUCUAAGGCCAUGCUACUCUGAACAAGCCCAAUCUCCUCUGAUCUCAGAAGCUAAACAGGGUUGGGCCUGGUUGGGAAACCACCUAGGAAGACCAGGUGCUGUAGGUG